rnacentral:tRNA from 1 species
GGAACUGUGGCCGAGAGGUGAGGCACUUGGUUGUCAACCAAGCCGAUGACGGUUCGAGUCCGUUCAGUUCCGCCA